rnacentral:snRNA from 1 species
GUGCUCACUUCAAAAGCACAUGUACUAAAUUUGGAAUGACAAAAGAUUAGCAUGGCUCCUGUGCUAGAAUGACACACAAAUUCAUGAAGUGUUCCAAUCAAAA